UUGUCACAGCCUCCAGUAACAUCAGUAGGAAGAGGUCAGUCCCCAGUGUGACAGAGCAGACGUGGAGGCUGGCAGACUACCCAGGCAUUAUUGAAAAUUAUACCAAGCUACUCGCUUGUAAUGCCUCCCUCCCACAGACCUUUCACAAGAAACUGUAAGUAUUUGACAUCCCUGGUGCAGGCAAAGACAGUCAGAGGCUCUGUUAUCUUCUUUUAUAAGCUGGAGAAUUUGGCUAUGAGUAGACAAAGGUCCCCGUCUGGCAAGGCAUGUGGGUAGUAUCACUCAUAUGAGUAAAGUGAUACACGAGCCUGCAAGAUUUGUCUGAGCAGAUCUCUGAAGAUGAGUCCUGACCUUAGCUACAAGAGCCUCCAUCUGGAAGUACAGUUAAUUGGUAAAAAUGUGUCUACUCUGAAUUUAAAAAAAAUUAUCUAUAUUACUACAAGGGGAAAUUCUUCUUUAUUACUGUUUUGUUACCAGUAUCCUUUUGAAGCUAAGGUUCCUGCACACACAUGCAGCAGCCAGAUUCAUGGGACGACCAAAUCUUAAACGUGGCGAAGUUGUUCCCAUUCUUUUCUCUGUUUAUUUUCAAUUUCCCAUCCUAUCAGCUCAAACGAAUUAAGGUGGGAGGAGGUAAAGCAACUAGAAAGGGCAGUUUUUAAAGCUGCACCGAGUAGAAGGUAAGAAAAUAUCAUAAAUUUUAUUUCAUGCCUUCUUGCCAAUUGUUAGAAAUGUGCAGUCCAUAUGAAUUCAUAUAACAAGGAGGGAAUGUUGGGAAAACCAAUAAAGAUUUUGUGGUCUUAACUAUAAUGAAUGUAGUUUGAUAUAGAGUCUGUUUUUCACUGCAUGGCAAAAUGAAUCAUAAAAUACUGGACCUUGAAACUCCUGCAUUUUUUAACAAUAGCCUGGGGACAGUUUACAGUGUAAUGAAUUGUAAUUAACCCACCUUCAAAAUCUUUUAUGAGUAUUUUGCCAAUUAGCUUCGCAUGCUUGCUAAUGACUCAUGGCCAGCGCAUGUCUUUACAGAGCAGCCUUUUACAGCACACGCUAGCCUGUUAAGUCAGCAGAAGUAUGCAGGACAGCGAGGUAGACACAGAUCUCUUCUGCUGCUCUGUAUGUCCUUCAUCAGCUGCAGGAGGACUGAAGCCAAUCCAGGUGUACUGAAGAUGGACUCAUGCUUACGUCCUAUCGACAGUCUCAGGAGAGGUGAAAUCCCAUCAGCGAUUAACAUCUCUCUUCUUUAUCUUCUUUCACACUUAGCCUCUAAACCUUGGUGGAAGUUUGAAAGGCUGGAAGUAGCCGCU
rnacentral:lncRNA from 1 species